AGGCAACCACAUAUCAAGUCAAUAGCACAGGGACCACUGACUUUCUUUGAAUCUAUGUGCGAGACAGGGAGCAUACCGAGGGGCCUCAUAGCGCGGCUCUACACGCACCUUUGCUCUAUGGCGAGGGAGUGGGGGGAGAUGUCUUAUAUUACCCAAUGGGAGAGGGACCUAGGGGAGGAACUCGAGGGGGUGGAGUGGCAGGAGAUAUGGGGGGCUAGCAUAACAACAUCAGUAUGUGUAGCAUUGCAAGAACAAUCCUUCAAAACAUUGUUUCGAUGGUACGUGACCCCGGUCAAAUUAUACAAGAUGCACAAAACCACUACAGAUGACUGUUGGCGCGGGUGUGGGAAUAAGGGAAC